rnacentral:rRNA from 1 species
AGCAGCCGCGGUAAUUCCAGCUCCAAUAGCGUAUAUUAAAGUUGUUGCAGUUAAAAAGCUCGUAGUUGAAUUUCGGGGUUAGCAAGUUGGUCGUGCCUUCGGUAUGUACUGGCUUUGCUGAUUCCUCCUUCUUGAAGAACUGUGAUGCUAUUAAUUUGGUGUUGCAGGGAAACAGGACUGUUACUUUGAAAAAUUAGAGUGUUUAAAGCAGGCUAACGCUUGAAUACAUUAGCAUGGAAUAAUGAAAUAGGACGUUUGAUCCUAUUUUGUUGGUUUCUAGGAUUGACGUAAUGAUUAAUAGGGAUAGUUGGGGGCAUUAGUAUUCAAUUGUCAGAGGUGAAAUUCUUGGAUUUAUUGAAGACUAACUACUGCGAAAGCAUUUGCCAAGGAUGUUUUCAUUAAUCAAGAACGAAAGUUAGGGGAUCGAAGACGAUCAGAUACCGUCGUAGU